AGGAUCGUUGGUGUCCAGGACCAGAUC
rnacentral:sRNA from 1 species